GCCCACCUUUGGCCUCUCCUCCCCCCGACCUGCCUCCAGAUCCCGUACAACCUCACAGUGCUGUGGCAUGGAUGGCUUCUGCAGCUGACUUGGAUUUCUUCUGCCACUGUCCCGUGAAGGAGUUGAUUUGCUUCAGUCCAUCCCUGCUCCAUUCCUGGCUCGGGUCUCCAUCAUGGCCACGCAGCACUGCAGCAGCCAAGCUUCAGUCCCUUCCCCGGUCUCAGUGGGAUCAGUUUGUUAUGUUCUCAUGCACUUACAGAAACAGAAGCUACCAACCCACCAAACCCUGGGACAGACAUCCUUAACCUCUUCAGCCCCGUCCGCCCCGGCUUCUCGGACUCCCACAGUAUCUGAGAGGACCACCAUCACCAUCCCAGGAUCCCCAUAUCCCACCGACGAGGAACCCCACAGCAAUCCACAUCUCAGGAUGGGGCUCCAGCUUGGCCCGAAUGCGUUCAUUCAAGAGAGGAGAAUGAAUGAGCCGUAAGGGGGCGCCUUUCCUCCUGACAUUGCCCACCGCCUGCGUGUUGGCUGUGCCGUGCCAGCAGCAUUUUGUCCUCGAGCUGUGAGUGCAGACAGAGGCCCUGAGAACAACCAGAGCCGUGUCUGUGUUCACCAAGGACUCACCUCUGCACGUGCAGCGGCAGCUCUGAGGGCAGCCUUCUUCAGCUCCACUCUCCUCUCCUUUCG
ensembl:lncRNA